AUCACGAAUAAGGUGAAUCGGGUAGUUCCGAUUUUUACUCCACCUUCUAAACGAUUACAGAAAUAUCGAAUAGGGUUUUCGAAUCAAACUCACAAAUCUUUCAUCUUCCUCUCCGCUGCGGUUCGAUAUAGGUUCAAAGACGACAUUAUCAAAAAUCUUGCAGUUUUCGACAAGAAAUUCAAAGCGAUUUGAAGAAUUGAGGGCGACAACUGGAUAGAUAGUUCGAUUUGCACUUUCGGAUAAACUGCUGCAUCUCUCGGUCCUUUGAAGGUCGAUUUUUUUUAACAACAAAGAAAGCUUCAUAUUCAGGUGAAGCUUUAGAACUGAAUGUGAUAGUUCUGUUGUGCGCCACGCCUGCUGCCCAUCUCGCUGCUCAAGACUAGGAUCUCAGUUUACAAAUUUGUUGAACCAUUGGAUGCUAAGAUUCAAAUAUUUUAUUUUUUGUAUUGGUUUUUGUUCAUUAAAGAAUUGUGUUUGUUCAUCAAAAUAUUGUGUUCUGUUCAUUAAAAACCACCGCCGCGCCCUUUCGCCUCGCCUCGCCUCAGCGCCGCCAGUCGCACAAUUAUUGGGUUCGAGCCGCCGCUGCUACUCUCUCGGUCGAGGACUGAGAGCUGAUGCUGUCUGCCAUGGCGAGCCGCUCUGUUGCUGGUCCUCCCUCUUCUGACUAAAGAUCUUCUUUAUUUAUCACAAUUUGCAUAAAGAUAUAUAUGUAGUUUCAAUUUCUAGUUAUUCUUUUGUAUGAAUAUUGAAUUCCUUG